UUAGAUACCCUGGUAGUCCACGCUGUAAACGAUGUCGAUUUGGAGGUUGUGCCCUUGAGGCGUGGCUUCCGGAGCUAACGCGUUAAAUCGACCGCCUGGGGAGUACGGCCGCAAGGUUAAAACUCAAAUGAAUUGACGGGGGCCCGCACAAGCGGUGGAGCAUGUGGUUUAAUUCGAUGCAACGCGAAGAACCUUACCUGGUCUUGACAUCCACAGAACUUUGCAGAGAUGGUUUGGUGCCUUCGGGAACUGUGAGACAGGUGCUGCAUGGCUGUCGUCAGCUCGUGUUGUGAAAUGUUGGGUUAAGUCCCGCAACGAGCGCAACCCUUAUCCUUUGUUGCCAGCGGUUAGGCCGGGAACUCAAAGGAGACUGCCAGUGAUAAACUGGAGGAAGGUGGGGAUGACGUCAAGUCAUCAUGGCCCUUACGACCAGGGCUACACACGUGCUACAAUGGCAUAUACAAAGAGAAGCGACCUCGCGAGAGCAAGCGGACCUCAUAAAGUAUGUCGUAGUCCGGAUUGGAGUCUGCAACUCGACUCCAUGAAGUCGGAAUCGCUAGUAAUCGUAGAUCAGAAUGCUACGGUGAAUACGUUCCCGGGCCUUGUACACACCGCCCGUCACACCAUGGGAGUGGGUUGCAAAAGAAGUAGGUAGCUUAA
rnacentral:rRNA from 1 species